rnacentral:rRNA from 1 species
CAGGCCUAACACAUGCAAGUCGAACGGUAACAGGAAGCAGCUUGCUGCUUCGCUGACGAGUGGCGGACGGGUGAGUAAUGUCUGGGAAACUGCCUGAUGGAGGGGGAUAACUACUGGAAACGGUAGCUAAUACCGCAUAGCGUCGCAAGACCAAAGAGGGGGACCUUCGGGCCUCUUGCCAUCGGAUGUGCCCAGAUGGGAUUAGCUAGUAGGUGGGGUAACGGCUCACCUAGGCGACGAUCCCUAGCUGGUCUGAGAGGAUGACCAGCCACACUGGAACUGAGACACGGUCCAGACUCCUACGGGAGGCAGCAGUGGGGAAUAUUGCACAAUGGGCGCAAGCCUGAUGCAGCCAUGCCGCGUGUAUGAAGAAGGCCUUCGGGUUGUAAAGUACUUUCAGCGGGGAGGAAGGCGAUAAGGUUAAUAACCUUGUCGAUUGACGUUACCCGCAGAAGAAGCACCGGCUAACUCCGUGCCAGCAGCCGCGGUAAU